UACGAAGGGGGCAAGCGUUGUUCGGAAUUACUGGGCGUAAAGGGCGCGUAGGCGGCCGAUCAAGUCAGGCGUGAAAUUCCCGGGCUCAACCUGGGGGCUGCGCUUGAUACUGAUUGGCUUGAAUGCGGGAGAGGAUAGUGGAAUUCCCAGUGUAGAGGUGAAAUUCGUAGAUAUCAGGAAGAACACCCGUGGCGAAGGCGGCUCUCUGGGACGGUACUGACGCUGAGACGCGAAAGCGUGGGGAGCGAACAGG
rnacentral:rRNA from 1 species